UACGUAGGGUGCGAGCGUUAAUCGGAAUUACUGGGCGUAAAGCGUGCGCAGGCGGAUUGUUAAGCAAGAUGUGAAAAUCCCCGGGCGUUAGUCCUCGGGAAGUAGGCGAUUUUGUAACUAGGCGAGUCUAGAGUGUGUCAGAGGGGGGUGGGAAUUACCACCGUGUAGCAGUGAAAUAGCGUAGAUAUGUGGAGGAACACCAAUGGCGAAGGCAGCCCCCU
rnacentral:rRNA from 1 species